CUGUGUUGUACUUUGUGACUUCUACCCUCUUAAACCAGAGUUUAGUUCCAUAUUCCAUGAAUCAUGAAUGGCUUCAUGACUUGUUUCAGCCACCAUGAAAAGCAGCAAUAAAGGAAAACUGUUAUAAAUCUUAAUCUUGAGUGACUGUUCACAGUUCCACUUGGUUAUGAUGAUUAGGUGUCAUUACCAUCACAAAGGCCAGACUGACUUAAACUGAGAACAGUCAUGGUCAGCCCAGAAAAGACAGAAGGCAGUGCUAUCAAGAUGAAGAUGGCAUAGCAGUGGGAAGGGCAAUGAGGAAAAAAGAACUGGAGAGAAUAUAGCUGUAACUGGUUGUCAGAGAAAACAGCAGGAAAUCAGAAAUAAGGUCCUGUUUGUUUUCCAAAAAAACCUGUAAAGUUUUCAUUUUAGUGCAAUGCUAUAUCAUCUUGAAAGGACUCCAUUAGACCUUCUACAUGACUGCUUAUGCCCACAGAGAAGGAAUUGCUAACAGCUUUGGUCAGAGAAGACUUUUUUUCUCUGUUAAAUGGUAACUGCAAAGAUUCAUAACUCAUCAAAGUGCUGAGUAUAAAGGGCUGUAGAAUCGAGUAGUGAGAUAUUCAAAUUCCCGCCUACAACAGUUAGGCAUGUCACUAACUGUGGAGAGAGGGGAAAACUAUGAGAAAUCGAUGAAUGGACUGUGUGACCAGUGCUGACUCCCUAGAAAAGACAAGGCUUUGAACUCAUUGCAGCUGUCAUUUCCUGCACAAGACUGGAUCUGUCAGCAUACAGACAGAUUGUUGGUUGAUGUCAAAGUGAGAGAUAUUGUCUCAGGGGUGUAAUCACUGAUGAAGUGUCCAUGCUUCUAACAUUCCUAGCAAACCCUCACUAGCACUCCUAGUAAAUGACCAUCAUGAAACUUAUGGUGCGAGACAAAAACAACAAAACCACCACCACAACAAAAAUGCAUGAAAUCAGAACUAGUUGGGAAGAGUAAUAGCUUUGGGAGGCGACAAGGGAGGUUAAUGGGAGAAAUAUUGUCAAAAUACAUUAUGUACAUGUAGAAGAAUUAUUGCCAUAAUAAAGUGCACUAUUAUGUAUAAUUGAUAUAUAUCAA
rnacentral:lncRNA from 1 species